rnacentral:rRNA from 1 species
UUUUUGGAGAGUUUGAUCCUGGCUCAGGACGAACGCUGGCGGCGUGCCUAACACAUGCAAGUCGAACGGAGAAGUUCAAUAAGUUUACUUAGCGAAUUUCUUAGUGGCGGACGGGUGAGUAACGCGUGGGUAACCUACCCAUAAAGCCGGGACAACCCUUGGAAACGAGGGCUAAUACCGGAUAAUCUUAGAUGUUGGCAUCAACGUUUAAGGAAAGAGGGCCUCUGAAGAUGCUCUUGAUUAUGGAUGGACCCGCGUCUGAUUAGCUAGUUGGUGGGGUAAAGGCCUACCAAGGCGACGAUCAGUAGCCGG